GCAGGAUGGCACCUGACUUGAAGAUAGCACCUGACUUGAAGAUGGCACCUGACUAGCAUUUGGACUGGUUUGCAGGCUGAGCACAGGGUUGCUCCAGGUGGGCCCAAAUGCUGAAGAGCCUCAUGUUAGAGUUUUUCACCUCUGCGAUGGAACUGUGGUGGACUCCAGUAUCAUCAUUCCAGGGAGGCAUAGCCGCACCAACUGUGUUCCCAGGUUUCACAUGGAGAAGGGUUUUAGAAAGUGCAGAUAGCCUUGAAACCAUUGGUUUCCUACCACUGUUUAUUUCAGCAUAACUUUUUUUGUGUGGAAUGCUAGCUCUGGAAGAGCAGAAAU
rnacentral:lncRNA from 1 species